GGCAUGGCGGCUUCUCAGGUGAACGCUGACUGGCUGCCAUUGUCUUCUAAGGAUAGACUGUCCUGGAUUCUCUGCCUGGCUGGCAGCCUUCUUUUAGGAGGAGUCCUGAUAAACACUCCAUCCACAGGGAGCUCCAUGCUGUCCCUGCAACACCAAAGGGAUCUUCACUGCCCACCCUCUGUUAGCCUUACCAUGUUUCCAUUUCUCUUUCCCCUUUCUCCAUAGCGUAGGGACAGCACAUCACGUGAUCGGAGAAUGCCGUGCCUGGUUCGCCUAUUGCAGACUCUCUCUGCCUUUCCAGGUGAUUUGGUGGGAGCUUCUUCCCAUGUUGCCAGGGGAAUAAAAAAGCUCAUCUCCUCUCGGCUUCCCUGCAAAACCAUGGCACUCCUAAGGCUGCUCAUUUCUCCCCAUCCUUUUCCAGUACGGAUCAGCUGAAUGGUGGGAAGACUGGUUCUCUGGGUUAGCACCUCAGAAAACCUGUAGAGAGGUGGCUGGUUCCAAAAUCAGGGGGAUUUCUGAACUUAAAAAAAUGGGGUGCUUAGCCUAUGCUGGCUUCAGUGUGGGGCCUUGACUGUAAUUUUCAGAGUAGAGGGGAAAAAACCCUCACAUUUGGUUAUACUUAUCCCCUUGGAUAAGUUUUUGUGCUCUCACAAAACUUAGUCAUGGUGCACAGUUUCUUAAAGGGUCCCAGCAGGCCCCUGACGUAGGGAAAUACUCAACUGAAUCACUUCAGUUUGAGCAGGAAAUCAAGGCUUCCCUUUAGAAGCAAAACGUCUAAGCACUCGACCCCCUUUUUAAGAGACUUACCAUGAAUGUUUCAGACUGUCUUCUCACCAUUUAGAAUCAGUCUUCCACUGCCUGCCAACUCUUCCUCAUUUCCUUUUCUUCUUGCUCAGGAAGCUCAGGGCCAGACCAGCCCAUCUCCUAGCUAAGCAGACUCCAGCUGGGAAAUGAUGCCUCUGACCCAGUACCCCCAUUAUUGAGUCUUUUGGGUCCUCUUUCUUUAGGGAAGGGAAAAAUCCAUAUCCUCUACAGGUUUUUCUUACUCUCAGUUUUCUUUUCAUGUUGGCCAGGGUGAGGGCUAGUUGUAGUGCUGGGGCUGGACUUCUGAUGAGACCCCUCCACCAGCCCUGCGGAGGGCUGGCCACGCGACCCAUGGCUCUCUCAACCUAUGUGGGGUACUUAACAGCUUUGUCCCCAGCUUUGGACUUAAACCAUAAUCCCAGUACAAAAUCCCACCAAACAUCUUGUUACAAAAGGAAAGAACUGAUAAAGAAGCUAGAACAUCACUCCUAGUGUAUCAAAUGUCAAGAUUUAUGACUUGCAAGGGGUCCAAAAAAUUCUCUUUGGAUUUUUAAAAUAGAGAUGCCAUAUGGAAAAUUAAAUUCAAAUUUAAUGAAUGUUCAUUGAGCACUAAUUAUGUGCAAGCACUGUGCUAGAUGUUUUUAUGCACAGUAUUUUAAUCUAACCCUGGAUCUUAAGAUCAGCUCCAUUUUUCAAUAAAAUGAUAUUUUUAGUAAUAUAGUUGUUAUUUAUUUGUGUCUGCCAUAUGCCAGGCACUGUUUUAAGCACUUUUUACACAGUGUUAUCAUUUAACAUUCACAAGUACAAAAUGAGGAAGAUAAUAUCAUCCUUAUUUUGUAAAGAAACAGGCUGCAUGUAAUUAUUUGCCUAACGGUAGUUAGAUUAUCAGUGAUGCCCAAAGCUAGCAUUUAAUGAACACUCACUAUGUAUCAGCCCCUCUUUUAAGUACUUUAUGGAUGUUAAUAUUAUCAUAGCAGCCCUGUAAGAUAGUCUUCUUUUAUUGACGGAGAAACUGAAACGCAAAGAGCUUAAGGACCUUGCUUAGGGUUACAUAGUGAGUAGAUGGUCCGUCUGGCUCCAGGACUCAUGAACUUCCUUGCUAUGUGGAACCUUUGCAGUAAGACCAACAUUCACGUUCAGGGCUUCAAGUCAAAGCCUGGCACCUCCUUAGAUUGCAGCGUCUUUACACAAAGAAAUGAAUCUCGAAUGGUAAAAUUUCAGUCUGUGAAGGUGAAUUAACACUUUAUUCUGUUUCACUAGUAUUAAAAUGUUAAAAUCGGGGGCUGUUUAUGUCAUCCAUUCCUCAGGGAUCCUACAGAUAAAGCAGUGGCUCAGAUCAGGGGGUAGGAAGUUGUCUGUUUCUUUUCUGUCUCUGCCUAACAUCUCUAAUUCAUCCCAGCUGCUUAGCUCUAGGACCCGUUUGCUCUCCGAACUAUCUAGCUAUCAUGUCCCACUUUAUCUGUGGGGUGGAUGCCAAGGGAAGGUACCAACCACACCGUGGUCAGGGGAACUAAAACCUGUACAACUGUGAGAAACAGGAAUGAACAGUGAACCCUGUGGAGACUCUUGCUUUGUCACCCAAAAAGGGAAAUUAUUCUUUCAUUUCUCUCCAUUGCUGAAACCCCCCGGGGACUUUUCUUUUGGGUUCAGUCACUGUCUCUGAGAUGGAAUCUUUGUGAUAAUAUUUUGAGUUGCUCGGAAAUCAUCUAGAAUCCAGUGUGUACUUUUUAUUAAACAAAUGCAUUCUUAUUGUAAAAGUUGAAGCUUUAUGCAAGUGUAUCAAGCAAACAUAAAAACCUUCUCAGUCGCAUUUCCUAGAGAUAAACAACGACAUUGUUUUCAUGUGUAUCCUUCUAGACGUUUUCCAAUUGAGAGGAUAAUUUAUUAUCCAAACAGGGAUAUUUGAGGUAAAAUACUGUAAUUUUGCCAGGAAAACAGUCAUAAACUAGGACUAUUUCAAACAAACUGAGAUAUAGGAUCCCCCUACUGUGUAUGAAUUUUUAUAUCUAUAUCUAUAGAAACAUCUGGAUACAUUCCAUAUAUAUUAAUAUUAUAUAUGGUGACGCGCAACCUCUGAGAUGGCUCCCAGCGGUCUCCACCUCUCGGAAUUCAUGCCCUGUGUCAUCCUCGCCCUUGGAGUGUAGGCCGCAUUCAGUGACUCACUUCAUGAAUAAGACAACUUCCUGCGGAAGUGACGGCGUGCCACUUCCGAGAUUAGGUUCUAAAGAAGACCACGGCUUCCAUCUUGGAUGCCCUCUUUCCCUCUCUUGUGGUAUCCCUUGCUCUGAGAGAAGCCAGCUGCCGUGCUGGGAGGGCACGCAGGCGGCCUGUGGAGAGGCCCACAUGCUAAGAAAUCGAGGUUCUGGUUCACAGCCCGUGAGGAACUGAGGCCACCAACGACUGCAUCAUGAAAUCUCAUCCCUCAUCAAUUUCUAGCCCUGUGACCUGACUAACAUAUGAAGAGGGUGAAGCUUAGAGAGGCCAUGAG